rnacentral:misc_RNA from 1 species
GUUAAAUAAUUUCUUUUUAUAGAGAAACUUUUUCUCUCAGCUACAGUUCGAUGUCCUCCAUUUUGGUCUACAGUGUCCACCAUUUUGUUCUCCAGUGCCCUACAAUGGCUGAAUGUCUCUCUAACCUCAAAAUAUAAUAAUUUUCUUCGCAACCAAUGCACUCUUAACACAGAAUAUUUGAAUAAAGAGAAAAGUUUGAAAUACUGCAGUUCUACAAAAAAUAUAUUACUAAUAAUACACACACGUGUACAUCACACUAUGUAAUCUAAUUGAAUGUUUAGAUCUAUGGACAUCAAGUGGUACACACACUCAUUGUUAAGUAAUUUCUUUUUAUAAAGAAACUUUUUCCUCCCAGUUUGAUGUCCUCCAUUUUGGUCUACAGUGUCCACCAUUUUGUUCUCCAGUGCCCUACAAUGCCUGAACGUCUCUCUAACCUCAAAAUAUAAUAAUUCUCUUCGCAACCAAUGCACUCUUGACACGGAAUAUUUGAAUAAAUAAAUGUUUGUAUAAAUAGAAAAGUAGGAUACUAUUGCGAGAAGUUUGCAUUUCGUUACAUCUCGCAACACGAUUACCGCGAAUGAAAUGCACAUGUAUUGAAUCGAUAACGUUUCAAUACUCAACCAAUUUGUUCGAAAAAGACCGAUCAUUGAUUUGCUAAUCAAUGCGUUGCAUCAGUACGAUUUAUUAUGUUAAAUUGGAGAGUUAACAGGAUUUUCCGGCAUGAUUACGCAAAACGAAUUGCGUAUCGCAGCAUUGCGAAUGACGAUGCGUAUCGACGGAAAUUGCAAGCUCGAUAGCGAGCUAUUUCGCUGGAAUUAUAAUUUUAUGUGUUUGCUAGUGAAAGCAUUUAACAAUUCAACGGAGAAACGAUUGCUGAUAAUAGGGGAAUUUGUGUUAUUUUCAAUAUUGCGAUCUGGAAGUGAUUUUAUCGGUGGAAAAAGUUCAAGCGGACAAAAGAGCGGAGAUAGUUUCUGCGAAACCCGGGCUCCUUUUUCCUCGGCACCUCGGUAACCGAGUAACCAAGUAACCAAGCGACCAAGUAACACCACCACGCACCGCGAGCAGGAAUCGCGAGAUGUUACACGAGGGGAGGAACGUCAGAUAAGUGGCAUAGUGGCGAUCUCCCGGGAAAGAAAGAGGAGUCGGCUCGUGGAACGAGGAGAGGCAAAACAGGCGGAGGAGGCAGAAGCAGCGUCUAAAGAAGAAGAAGAAGAAGAAGAAACGGAGUGGAAGAGGUUAACGGCCUCUGGCACAGUGGUGAUAAAGAGCCAAAGCAGCGGAGGCGAAACCGCAGAGAAUUCGAACCGACUCUGUAGGAACACGAGAUGAGUGGAACCUUGGAAAGAGGAAGAGGACGCGUGUGUGGAACACACGCCGAACACGCACACGCCGAUGGAUAUUUUCUGAUUCGUUCGGAAACAAACGAUCACGCUUUUCUGCCAACGUUUUAUGCUCGCAGAAUUUUAGCUCGAUGGGAAUUUAGAUAUGGUGGAGAGGUAUCGAUAAAUAUUGGUAAUGCUGGAAUGUUAUCGGGUAUUCGAUGUAUUGAUGGUAUCGUUUAGAUAGCGUAAGCAGGGUUAGGAGAUAGAGUUGAAAUAUGAAGUUUGUGCACUUUUCAUUCUUUACAUUUGUUAUUUAUAUUAGUUACAUUUUCAAUAUUAUGAAAGUUUUUGGUACAAUUUUUUGUAAACUUCGUUUUAUAUCUUUAUGUGGUUGUACUUAAAUCUGGCAGUACAUACAUGAUUCUCAAGUUUGAAUUUCCGGAAUUGUCAGAUUUUUAACGUGUAUUACACUCAAGGUUGCGAACAUCGAUAUCCAAUUUUCAAUUGUAAAAAAUAAAUUCCUUUUUUGAGGCAAUAGCAAAAGAAUCAUAUAGACCUAACCUCUAACUUCAAACGAAUUUCACUAAUCAAAUGAUGUGUCUACCAAAAGAUGUACUUAUUAAAAGAUCUAUCUGGGAUUAAAAUAUAAUAAACUGUCUUUAAAAAUUCCUUUAAUUUCAGUUAGUCAGCUCCUGAGGAUUAAAGGAAAGAAAAGAAGUCAUGCUUGUUAAGAGACGUCUAUAAAGAGACAUGACUAAAAUAUAAUGGACACUCUGCAAAUUCGUAUAAUUUCACCUAGUCAACUCCUAAAAUCUGAAGAAAAGAUGUGCUCAAAAAAUGAGCCUAUAAAGAGAUAUGACUAAAAUAUAAUUGACACUCUGAAAAUUCGUGUAAUUUCACCUAGUAAACUCCUAAAAUCUGAAGAAAAGAUGUGCUCAAGAAAUGAGCCUAUAAAGAGACAUGACUAAAAUGUAAUGAACACUCUGCAAAUUCGUAUAAUUUCACCUAGUCAACUCCUAAAAUCUGAAGAAAAGAUGUGCUCAAGAAAUGAGCCUAUAAAGGUACAUGACUAAAAUAUAAUGAACUCUCUGAAAAUUUGUGUAAUUUCACCAAGUCAGCUCCUAGAAUCCAAAGAAAAGAUGUGCUCAAGAAAUGAGCCUAUAAAGAGACAUGACUAAAAUGUAAUGAACACUCUGCAAAUUCGUAUAAUUUCACCUAGUCAACUCCUAAAAUCUGAAGAAAAGAUGUGCUCAAGAAAUGAGCCUAUAAAGAGACAUGACUAAAAUGUAAUGAACACUCUGCAAAUUCGUAUAAUUUCACCUAGUCAACUCCUAAAAUCUGAAGAAAAGAUGUGCUCAAGAAAUGAGCCUAUAAAGAGACAUGACUAAAAUGUAAUGAACACUCUGCAAAUUCGUAUAAUUUCACCUAGUCAACUCCUAAAAUCUGAAGAAAAGAUGUGCUCAAGAAAUGAGCCUAUAAAGAGACAUGACUAAAAUGUAAUGAACACUCUGCAAAUUCGUAUAA